GCUUAAUAUCAAUUAGAAAGCAAAGUUAAACUUCCUGCUUUUGUUCAUCUGUAAUGUCUUUAUUAAAUAUACAUUUAGAAGAACUUUAAAGCUGUUUACCACAAAAUAGUUCAUGGAAUCUCUGCAGUUUCUGACAGCAUAAACAGUAGGUGAACUGAUUCUGUAAAAUACAGGCAUUAAAGUGAUUGCAUGGGAAAUGUGGUGACGAUGAAUGUACAUCCUGACAACAGUAAAACAUUAAUAUUUAUGUUUUAGCAUUUGCAUAUAUCUCACAAUUUUUAACAGUUAUUUUGUUAAUGUUUUUAUUGAAUGUACAUCUUCUAUGCCUAAUUAAUAAACCACAUUAGAAUAUUUUUCAUAUUUUGUGUAUGACUAAUAAGAUGAAAUUAGAAUGUCACACCAAAAGAUUUGUGUAACUAAACAUUUAAAAAAUGUGAAGAUUGUUUUAACCAAAAUUUCCCUUUCUGCACACUCAAGAGUACAGAAAUAGGAAAUGUAUUCAGACAGACAUGCUGAAGUAGCAUUUGUUUGAUUAAAUGUAGAUACUUGUAUCUGUGCUUUGGAAGAAAACCAGGCAGCUCCAAUAAAACACAUAGUGCCAUACCAAUGUGACUUCUAAUGUCUCUUGUAUUUCACUGUGUGCAUAUUGAAUUUUCAGGUGGCCUUUUGAGCUGUCUGGGCAGUUCUGCCACAUUGGAAUAUGAUACAGUUGUCACUGGUGAUUAGCUAGAAUGUCUCAGAAGGAGAAGGAGGGUAACUGCUCUGUACACUUGGUCUGCAGGUCGAGGCUGCAAACCUUGGCCCUGCCUGACACUGACACAAUCGGACUUCAGAAAACAUCAUCUCUGUGUUCUUUGAGAGGAAAAAUGGGCUUGCCAAGUAUCGAUGUACUCCAUUAACCCACUUUAUCAGAUGAUGACUGAGGAAUUCGGGUAGGUCUCUCUUUGUCUGAAGAGCUUUUUGCCCCAUGGUUUAACCACUGUUAAGAUUGGUGGUAAGGCAACAAUCUUCCCAGCUAAUGGCUCUGAGUAACUGUAAUUACAAGCAAUUUAAGUGCUAUUCCUGCUGGGACAAGAGUCUGAAUGAUGAUAUCCCUUUCUCUAUUCACAUCAGAAAAACAAGGAUAUUCAUUACUCAGACCCUGCUUGCAGAGUUGAUGAUUCCUUAAGACUGCAAUGACCGAUGUGCUGAGACAACACAGGCUGAAAGGCAUCUAAUAAACCAUUCAACCAAUAGUAAACCGUAUCAAUGGAUCAUCAAGACAAGACCUAAUAGUGCACAGAGUCAAAAGACUUGCAGCUUAAUCUACAAGUACAUAAUACAGAAUCGUAGAAUCAUAGAACCACAGAAUCAUCAUCACGUAUCUGCAGAAAAGGAGGUAUUCCAUCAAAAUCAGUAGUAUCUCUUUGGAACAAGAUUAGCAUCGAUAAGAGAUUAUGUAGCCCACCUCUUGCCUUGGUUUACCCUGAAAGUGUUUUAAACUUACCAGUUAUACUUUGGUAGUGAUUGUUUUGUCAUAGAAGUGCUAAAUGAGAAAUGUUCUUCUGGGUAGUGACAGCUCUUGUUUUAAGGCACGGGUACAUGAACAUGGACUAGAAGGAGUAGUUUUAAUGCCAAUCCUUGGAUCACAGUUGGCCAUGCAAUGAAUAAUGACUUCAUAAAAUAAUUCUCCAGCUCUCUCCUAAGAAAGUACUUGAUUCACUUAUUCCUUCGACCCCACUUGGAAGCUUAUUCUAGAAUAUCACUGCUGUAAUGGUAGGAAACUUAUGAUUUCUAGUCUAAAUAUAUCCAGGGGAAGUUUCUCCUUGGGAAGAAGAAAAGCUAUUUAGGAACAAUAACUGAUAUAUAUUGACAUAUAUUCCCUUACUUACUCAGGUCUUAUUCACAGAAGAAGACUGUCAUUCCUACAAAUCUUCUAGCUUGUUUAAAUAAUCAGGAUCUUUCUGUCUCCCUUUCUUUGCCUUCUUUUAUCAAUCUCACUACAAAUUACUGAAACUACGAGGCAUUAAUAUUAACAGGUUUUUUGUGGUUUCUUUAAAGCAAAAUUUGG
ensembl:lncRNA